rnacentral:tRNA from 1 species
GGGGUUGUGGUGGAAUGGUAGACACAGGAGACUUAAAAUCUCCCGACCACAAGUCGUGACGGUUCGAGUCCGUCCAGCCCCACCA